AACGAACGCUGGCGGCAUGCCUAACACAUGCAAGUCGAACGAAGGCUUCGGCCUUAGUGGCGCACGGGUGCGUAACGCGUGGGAAUCUGCCCUUUGGUUCGGAAUAACAGCUGGAAACGGCUGCUAAUACCGGAUGAUGACGAAAGUCCAAAGAUUUAUCGCCAGAGGAUGAGCCCGCGUUGGAUUAGGUAGUUGGUGGGGUAAAGGCCUACCAAGCCGACGAUCCAUAGCUGGUCUGAGAGGAUGAUCAGCCACACUGGGACUGAGACACGGCCCAGACUCCUACGGGAGGCAGCAGUGGUGAAUAUUGGACAAUGGGCGCAAGCCUGAUCCAGCAAUGCCGCGUGAGUGAUGAAGGCCCUAGGGUUGUAAAGCUCUUUUACCCGGGAAGAUAAUGACGGUACCGGGAGAAUAAGCCCCGGCUAACUCCGUG
rnacentral:rRNA from 1 species